UGGGGAAUGUUGCGCAAUGGGCGAAAGCCUGACGCAGCGACGCCGCGUGAGGGAUGAAGGUUUUCGGAUCGUAAACCUCUGUCAGAAGGGAAGAAACCGCACUGUGCUAAUCAGCAGUGCCUUGACGGUACCUUCAAAGGAAGCACCGGCUAACUCCGUGCCAGCAGCCGCGGUAAUACGGAGGGUGCAAGCGUUAAUCGGAAUUACUGGGCGUAAAGCGCACGUAGGCUGCUUUGUAAGUCAGGGGUGAAAUCCCACGGCUCAACCGUGGAACUGCCUUUGAUACUGCUUAGCUUGAAUCCGGGAGAGGGUGGCGGAAUUCCAGGUGUAGGAGUGAAAUCCGUAGAUAUCUGGAGGAACAUCAGUGGCGAAGGCGGCCACCUGGACCGGUAUUGACGCUGAGGUGCGAAAGCGUGGGGAGCAAACAGG
rnacentral:rRNA from 1 species